AAUAUACAGUAACAGACAUGUGGACUGUAGAAUAUACAGUAACAGACAUGUGGACUGUAGAAUAUACAGAAACAGUCAUGUGGACUGUAGAAUAUACAGUAACAGACAUGUGGACUGUAGAAUAUCCACUUUUUUAAACUUCUUAGGGCUAGGCCCCUUUUUUCUCCACUUCCUGUCUGAAUGACAUUCCCAAAGUAAACUGCCUGUAGCUCAGGCCCAGAAGCCAGGAUAUGCAUAUAAUUGGUACCAUUAGAAAGUAAACACUUUGACAUUUGUAGAAAUAUUAAAAUAAGGUAGGAGAAUAUAACAUAUGGUAGGAGAAAAUCCAAAUCCUUUGAGAGACCUCUUAGAAUUGCAAUAGAAAGGUCAUAUUGAAAAUGAGCUCCCUGGAUGCAAUGUCUAUGGCUUCCACGGGGUGUCAGCAGUCUGUGUUCAAGGUUUCAGGCUCGUAACUUCAAAAACGAAGAAGAAAUAUCAGUUUUAGUAGAAGGACACAGUCUUGGAAAUUCAUGUUUGCUCGCGCCGUGAAGACGUUACGCACCUGUUAAAAUCGGUUUCCUAUUGAACAUACUUCUUUCCGUAAUAAAUAUUAUAAUUUGAUGACAUUUUAGUGUAUCUGAGGAGUAAAUAGAAAUGUAUUUUGACUUGUUGAAACAAAGUUUAGGGGUUAGAUUUUCAGAUUCCUUUCUCUGCAAGUUAAACGAGUGGAUGACUCAUCGAUGGCGCCAACUAAACAGACUUUUUGGGAUUUAAAGAUGGAUUUUAUCAAACAAAACGGCACUACAUGUUAUAGCUGGGACCCUUUGGAUGACAAAUCAGAGGAAGAUUUUCAAAAAGUAAGUUAAUAUUUUAUCGUUGUAUGUGAAUGUAUUAAACCUGUGCCGGUGGAAAAAUAUUUUGAUGUGGGGCGCCAUCCUCAAACAAUCGCAUGGUAUGUUUUCACUGUAAUAGCUACUGUAAAUCAGACAGUGCAGUUAGAUUAACAAGAAUUUAAGCUUUCAGCCGAUGUAAGACACUUGUAUGUACAUAAAUGUUUAAAAUCCAUAAUAUUUCUUUGAAUUGCACGCUCUCCAGUUUCACCCGAAGUUGUCCUGCUAGUGGGACACCAAUCCUUAUUAACUAAACUCAGACAUGUUGAAUAUUACUGACUAAGCAGGAAGCUUGGAAUGGCUGUGAACGAAGAGGUUGUGAGUUCAAAUCCCAGUUGAGGACAUGUUGAAUAUUACUGACUAAGCAGGAAGAUUGGAAUGGCUGUGAACCAAGAGGUUGUGAGUUCAAAUCCCAGUUGAGGACAUGUUGAAUAUUAAUGACUAAGCAGGAAGAUUGGAAUGGCUGUGAACCAAGAGGUUGUGAGUUCAUAUCCCAGUUGAGGACAUGUUGAAUAUUAAUGACUAAGCAGGAAGAUUGGAAUGGCUGUGAACCAAGAGCUUGUGAGUUCAAAUCCCAGUUGAGGACAUGUUGAAUAUUAAUGACUAAGCAGGAAGAUUGGAAUGGCUGUGAACCAAGAGGUUGUGAGUUCAAAUCCCAGUUGAGGACAUGUUGAAUAUUAAUGACUGUAUGCAGAAACAUACACAAUGUAGCCAUGUGGCAAAAUGCAUCACGUGUUUAAGUUGAAAACACUGUGUGUUCAUCAUUACAACUCACCUUUGUUUUUGCAGGGCUUGUGAAUCUCUCCUAGAAAAAAAUGUAAUCCACAUGUGAAAGGUUUUUGUGAAAAUCCACAUGAAACUAAUAUCAUCCUGUGAAGUAUUUCCCAAAAACGUGUGAUUUUCCUGUAAGGAUGUUCGUUGAAGCUGCUACACUCUACAGAAACAGGAGCUCCUGCCCUGUGAGCCGUUCUUCCUCGGACAAGGCUACUUAUGUACAGUCGCAGGUAAAGUGAGACGUAAUACACACAUGGCACCGACCCAGAGUCGGCUAAGAAACAGCUGAAAAUGUACAGCACACAGACAGGUCAUUCCAGGUAAGAGUCAGUAAAGGAACUGAGAACCAGGGAAGUAUCCCAAAUAGCACCCUGUUCCCUAUAAGGUGCACUACUCUGGGCCCUGGUCAAAAGUAAUGCCCUACUUAGGAAACCGGGUGCCAUUUGGUACGCAGAUUAGGGAGAAAGUUCACUAGUUCCUGCAGUGAAAUGAACAAAUCGCCCUCUAGUGGCGUCAUGGGUGAAAUGUUAUCAAUAUUUUUCAUAAUUGCAUAAUUAAUAAACAUUUUAAACAUUUAAAAAAAUUACACCGAUGAAUCCGAUGUUUCUAUGUCAAACGGUUUUGUUAUAGUUCAGUCUUCUGUGAUGUACCUAAAGUGUAAUACUGGAAUGCAAACUCAACAUUGAAUACAUUUUCAACUCUGUAUCUGACAUAACUUCUUCUAUAAGCCCAUAACCACGUGUGUGAGGUGCAUUCUUUUGUUUCAAAGUAGAUUUCUUUUUUAAGACUACCCAGAAACACUGAUCUAGAAGGUUAAAAGGAACACACCAUUGAGUAGAAUAUGUACAAACAAACAAAAGAGAGAGGUUUGUUGACGAAAAGUUCAUAUGUAAACACACCAUUCAUCCUCCUCGUCCCCAACAGGUGGGCGCUACACAUUUGUCUGUGUACCAUUUGUGUCAUUGGUACUGUACUGUGGAAGAGGUGAGUUUGCUCCAGUUGAAAGGAGCUUUUGAGAACGAAUAGGUUAUUGUACUCAAAGGGCACUUUCAUUUGCGGUAGUAAUAACCCUAUCCAUUAGUCUCAAAACAGCCCUCUUCAGAACAGCCCUGGUCCUAACGUUCAUAUGCAGCGGUCUAGUUCUCUCUCACCGGUAGCAAAUGAGCCAUAUCAGACAUGCUGGGCAGAUAGGUCAUUAGGGGCCGACGUUUUUUUCUCCCUCUCUCUCAUUCAUACUCUCCCUCCUCCUUUCUCACUCCCUCCUUCCCAUGACGAGGGGUCCCCCAC
ensembl:lncRNA